rnacentral:lncRNA from 1 species
AGUUAUUAUGCAAUGUAACUGCAAUUGAUGACUAUGAAAUGGAUGCACAAAAAAUUUGUAAACCAACCGGCACACUGCUUGUAUAUUCAUGGAAGAAAGGUUGAUGUUUUUAUGUUUUGUUUGUUUAUGUUUGUUUUUUAAAAAUCAAUAAAAAAUUUACACACACACACACAAAAGAGUUAUGUACCAACAGCUUCUGUGAAUAUUAUUACACUGAUGUCUAAAUUAACCAGCUGCAUAUUCCAGAUUUAAGGUUACUUUUCUACGCUGAUUUAUAACAUUACCUCUGGCCCAGGGCUUAAAGAAGACAAGUACCAUGUUGGAUGAAGAAUUUCCCCGUACUGCACUCAGCAUCAACAACAGAAAUGAGCUCCGGAAUGUUCUGAAUCUCCAGUCUUUAUACAAACAAAACAAGGCCAAAGAGACUCCUUUAAAAACCAUCCUGGAAAUCAUGGCGAGCUACUUUCUGGAGCUCCAGAGUAACCAAACCUUCCUGGGAAAUUCCUCAUUUCUGGAAAAGAAAGCCUGUCCCACAAGAAGUUCGGAGAGCUUUCCUCCUAAGAAUUCCCUCUCUGGAGAAGCCGCUCGAAGGCAAACAGCAGCUGAGAAAACUAAAAAAGGGACUCCCAGGUAUAACUUUUAGCAUUUGACCCUAAAUCUUUAGAUGGCAGUCAUUGCUGCAUACAGGAAGUCCUUGACUUACGACUGCAAGUGAGCCCGAAAUUACUGUGGUAAGUCACGGUGAUCCUUAAGUAGUCACCAUAUGAUUAUGGUCUAUUUUAUGACCUUUUUGACAGUGGUCAUUAAGCAAACACUGCUGUCGUAAAGCAAAUACGCUGUCUGCAAUGGCUGGUUUUUUUGCUGGAAACUGGAAGUACAGUUGGUCCUCGGCUUACAACCACAAUUAAACCCAAAAUGUAUUUUUGCUAAGUGAGAUGGUUGUCAAACUGAGUUUUGCCCCAUUUUUUGUUCCUCCUUUCAUAGUUGUUAAAUGAAGCACUGUUGUGGUUAAGUUAGUUGUUAAGUGAAUCUAGCUUCCCCAUUGACUUUGCUUGUCAGAAGGUCGCAAAAGAGGAUCACGUGACCUUGGGACACUGCAACCGUCAUAAGUACAUGCCAGUUGCCAAACAUCUGAAUUUUGAUCACAUAACCAUGGGAAUAACACAAUAGAAUAGAAUAGAAUAGAAUAGAAUAGAAUAGAAUAGAGAAUGGAAUGGAAUGGAAUGGAAUGGAAUGGAAUGGAAUAGAAUAGAAUAGAAUAGAAUAGAAUAGAAUAGAAUAGAAUAGAAUAGAAUAGAAUAGAAUAGAAUAGAAUAGAAUAGAAUUCUUUAUUGGCCAAGUGUGAUUGGACACACAAGGAAAUUUGUCUUGAUGCAUAAGCUCCAUAAAGAAAAAAUAAAAUACAUUCAUCAAUAAUCA